rnacentral:rRNA from 1 species
CCUACGGGUGGCAGCAGUGGGGGAUAUUGCACAAUGGGGGAAACCCUGAUGCAGCGACGCCGCGUGGGUGAAGAAGUAUUUCGGUAUGUAAAGCCCUAUCAGCAGGGAAGAAAGAAGACGGUACCUGACUAAGAAGCCCCGGCUAACUACGUGCCAGCAGCCGCGGUAAUACGUAGGGGGCGAGCGUUAUCCGGAUUCACUGGGUGUAAAGGGAGCGUAGACGGCCGUGCAAGCCAGGAGUGAAAGCCCGGGGCUCAACGUGGGAACUGCCUUUGAAACUGGCAAACUGGAGUGUGUGAGAGGAUAGUGGAAUUCCAGGUGUAGGAGUGAAAUCCGUAGAUAUCUGGAGGAACAUCAGUGGCGAAGGCGACUAUCUGGCACAUAACUGACGCUGAGGAGCGAAAGCGUGGGUAGCAAACAGGAUUAGAUACCCGUGUAGUC